UGGGGAAUAUUGGACAAUGGGCGCAAGCCUGAUCCAGCCAUGCCGCGUGAGUGACGAAGGCCUUAGGGUUGUAAAGCUCUUUUGGCGGGGAAGAUAAUGACGGUACCCGCAGAAUAAGCUCCGGCUAACUUCGUGCCAGCAGCCGCGGUAAUACGAAGGGAGCUAGCGUUGUUCGGAAUCACUGGGCGUAAAGCGCACGUAGGUGGGCAGUUAAGUCAGGGGUGAAAGCCCGAGGCUCAACCUCGGAAUUGCCUCUGAUACUGGCUGUCUAGAGUUCGAGAGAGGUGAGUGGAAUUCCUAGUGUAGAGGUGAAAUGCGUAGAUAUCAAGAGGAACACCUGAGGUGAAGACGGGUUGCUGGGCUGAUACUGACGCUGAGGCGCGAAAGCUAGGGUAGCAAACGGGAUUAGAUACCCAAGUAGUCCCUGAGCGGGCUGGCAAGGCGCAU
rnacentral:rRNA from 1 species